rnacentral:lncRNA from 1 species
CAAAUAAGAAUAACUAUACUAUAUUUUUUUUUCAUGAAACUUUAUUUGUGUAAAUGCAAAGUCUACCUAUCUGUAUAUGUUAAUUCAAUCAUAUCUAAGCAAGAGAGAAUGAAAAAUUUCACGAAACCUUACACAACAAACUACUUCAUCGACUGAAGGAGGAAGAAAUAAAAUUAUAUAGCACUUUUUUGUGAAAACAGUUCUUGUGAUAAACUUUAGUCGUCAAAUUAAUUACUUAUAAGACAAUAAGGAUGAUUUGCAUGGAUCUUUUUCACAGGACAUCCGAAUAUAUGGAUCUGAGUCAAAUCAUAGUUCCAUUCAACUCCUACGUGUUUAUGGCAUUGGGUUGUCCAUCAUGUUCAGGGAUUUCAUCUGUUUAGAAAAGGUCCAAAUCUGUUACUUCAUCAUACAUUGUUUCAAAUACACAUCCGUCCCUCUAUAUCUUGUAUGGAAUCCUAUACUUCGGAGGAUAUGUUUAAUCAAGAGGAGUAAUACUCGAAUGACAUGUACAGAGAGGAACAAAGAGACUUAUCAUCCUUCAUCUGCAUCUCUUCCAUAGAAACUCAUUCCAAAGUUUACCCUAUUUCGUCUCCUAAUAUUCUUAGAAAACUCUUUCGUUGAUUUGAGUACAUAAAUGUCAUUGACAUAAUAAAAAACUCAUAUAAAUGACACUGAGUCCAUUUAUAAGGCUAAAUUAUUUCUGUAAUUCUAGACACUUCAUCCUCGCUUCCGAUUCCAUUAUUACUUGUGUGUCUCUACUGGUAUUGAAUAAAAAGUUGAAGACGAUCCCAGAAACUUAUGAAUAUUAAAUGAAAAUUAAUUAAUAAGCAUGAAUGC